CAACUGUUUUACAGUUCGAUUGGAACUGGGGAGGAGUUUAAAAGAAUCACAGUAAGCCCUCUGGUCUUUUCCAGGAGGAUAAUCAACAACAUUGACUGAUUAUGUUUGUAUGGCUUGUUGGAUAAAAAGGAAUGAACAGGAGCUCACCAGCCAUCAGAGAAUUGCAGCUAACCCUAGCAUUUUCCUUCUGAAGUGCCUUGCUCCCUGUUUGCCUUUCACCAUGAUUGGAAGUUUCCUCCAGCCUCCGCAGAAGCAGAAGCCACAAUGCUUCCUGUACAGCCUGCAGAACUGUGAGCCAAUUAAACCUCUUUUCUUUAUAAAUUACCCAGUCUCAGGUAUUUCUUUAUAACAGUGCAAGAAAGAACUAAUAUAAUAUUGUACUAUUUGAAAAGUGAUUUCAGAGCUUGAAAGAAGUGUGCUUGAGCCUGUAAAAUUAGGCACUAGACUUAACUACAUUUCUUUGAGUACCUAAUGGUGCAGAAAAUGGUCACGAGAACUGGGGAGAAAUUAUCAAAAUUUUCUUUAUUGUACAUAUAUAUGCACAACA